ACGCUGGCGGCGUGCCUAAUACAUGCAAGUCGAACGGUCUUUCUAUGGAAGCUUGCUUCCACUGAGAAGAUAGUGGCGAACGGGUGAGUAACACGUGGGUAACCUGCCCAUAAGAGGGGGAUAACAUCCGGAAACGGGUGCUAAUACCGCAUAGUUUUCUUGAUCGCAUGAUUGAGAAAGGAAAGACGGCCUUUGUGCUGUCGCUUAUGGAUGGACCCGCGGCGUAUUAGUUAGUUGGUGAGGUAACGGCUCACCAAGACGAUGAUACGUAGCCGACCUGAGAGGGUGAUCGGCCACAUUGGGACUGAGACACGGCCCAAACUCCUACGGGAGGCAGCAGUAGGGAAUCUUCCGCAAUGGACGAAAGUCUGACGGAGCAACGCCGCGUGAGUGAAGAAGGUUUUCGGGAAUCGUAAAACUCUGUUGUCAGAGAAGAACAAGUUGGAGAGUAACUGCUCCAGCCUUGACGGUAUCUGACCAGAAAGCCACGGCUAACUACGUGCCAGCAGCAGC
rnacentral:rRNA from 1 species